UGGGUUAUGGCUCAGUGGUAGAGCACUCAUUUAGCAUGUGUGAGGCCUGGGUUCAAUCCUCAGCACCACAU
rnacentral:tRNA from 1 species